rnacentral:rRNA from 1 species
GUAGGUGGCAAGCGUUGUCCGGAUUUAUUUGGCGUAAAGGGAGCGCAGGCGGUCUUUUAAGUCUGAAUGUGAAAGCCCUCAGCUUAACUGAGGAAGAGCAUCGGAAACUGAAAGACUUGAGUGCAGAAGAGGAGAGUGGAACUCCAUGUGUAGCGGUGAAAUGCGUAGAUAUAUGGAAGAACACCAGUGGCGAAGGCGGCUCUCUGGUCUGUUACUGACGCUGAGGCUCGAAAGCAUGGGUAGCGAACAGGAUUAGAUACCCUGGUAGUCCAUGCCGUAAACGAUGAGUGCUAAGUGUUGGGAGGUUUCCGCCUCUCAGUGCUGCAGCUAACGCAUUAAGCACUCCGCCUGGGGAGUACGACCGCAAGGUUG